rnacentral:rRNA from 1 species
GAUCCUGGCUCGGGACGAACGCUGGCGGCACGCUUAACACAUGCAAGUCGAACGAGAGAAGAGAAGCUUGCUUUUCUGAUCUAGUGGCGGACGGGUGAGUAACACGUGAGCAAUCUGCCUUUCAGAGGGGGAUACCGAUUGGAAACGAUCGUUAAUACCGCAUAAUAUAAUUGAACCGCAUGAUUUGAUUAUCAAAGAUUUAUCGCUGAAAGAUGAGCUCGCGUCUGAUUAG